CAGAAGAGUGAAUGUGUGGACAGUAAAAGCUUGAAGACUUGGUCUUUGCUGCCUGCACUAAUUUCCCAACUACUUCCGAUCAAUUUCCGUAUGUUGGAUAUUUACUAUAUAAAUACUUGUAUUAUUAUCCACCCAGAAAUUAUUUUUAGAUCUAAGCAACAUGUUGUUAGUAAUUCUAUGUGUUACCGUGCUACCUUUUGCUUUUGCAUCCAUCAACACAACUUGUCUUCCUUCCAAAGAAGUGGAUGCAUUGAGGGAGAUUGGAAGAAAGCUGGGUAAAGAUUGGGAUUUCGAACGAGAUCCAUGUCGUGAUUGGGAGAUUUCUAGCAUUGGAGAACGGGAGAAUAAUGUCACUUGCAUCGCAGAACCAAACAGCACAAUAUGCCACGUCGUUAGCAUAAAUCUUCAAGGACAAAGCCUACCGGGGAUUCUCCCACCGGAACUCGUCAAUCUUCCUUAUCUCCAAAAUCUAGAGUUAAAUCGCAACCGUCUCAGUGGUACCAUCCCUCCAGCAUGGGGUUUCAUGGAGCGAAUUGUAAACAUUGCUCUUCUCGCGAAUCGGUUGAACGGAUCAAUCCCACAAGAACUCGGAAACAUCCGCACAUUGAAAUCUUUAUCCGUAGAGGACAAUAUGAUGUAUGGAGCAAUUCCUCAUGAACUUGGGAAUCUUACAAGCAUUGAGAGAUUUCGGAUUAGCGGUAACAACUUCUCUGGGAAGAUACCCGAUUUCAUUGGAGAAUGGACAAGUCUCACGAGCUUAAGGAUUCAGGCCAGUGGAUUGGAGGGACCAAUACCUUCUAGCAUUACUCUAUCGGAAAGCCUGACAGACCUGAGAAUCAGUGACUUGGGAGGACCAGACACCCUUUGUCCACCCUUUAGUAAUACAACGCGUUUCACGCACCUGUUCUUGAGGAGCUGCAAUUUAAUUGGCCAGUUACCACAAUAUCUUGCCUCAAGUCUGGAAGUCUUAGACUUCAGCUUUAACAAGCUUAAUGGAUCCAUCCCUAAAAGUUUCUCUGAACUACAAGACACAAACUAUAUCUAUCUUACUGGAAACUUGCUAUCUGGAAGUGUGCCUGAUUGGAUGCUCAGUAUUGGAAAUGAAAUUGAUUUGUCGUACAACAAUUUUACAUAUAAUAACCCUCCCAUGUCCGGUUGUCAUGUGCGGAAGACAAACUUAUUUGCUUCAUUUUCGGACGAUACCAUUUCUAACAAGGUCGCAUGCUUGGGUAGCAGUGGUUGUCAAACAAAUUGGUCUUCCUUGUAUAUCGAUUGUGGUGGGAAUGGAUUGAGCGUUGGAAAUGAUUCUUAUGAAAGUGACUUGGACGAUGGUGGUGCUUCAUUUUUCACAUCAACUGAAAGUGGAUGGGGAUUCAGCAACACUGGUCAAUUUUUGGGUAACGAUGUCAGCGUUGAUAAUUAUACUGUGAAAAAUACUUCUAGACUCUUGAUGGACAACCCUGAAUUGUACAUGAGUGCACGAGUCUCAUCUUUAUCUUUGACAUAUUAUGGUUUUUGUUUGGUUAAUGGAAGCUACAAUGUAAGCCUUCACUUUGCCGAGAUCAUUUUUACCAAUGAUGGAACAUAUAGCAGCCUUGGGAGGCGUGUAUUUGAUAUCUACAUUCAGGGUGAACAAGUGGCGAAAGAUUUUGACAUCAGAGACGAAGCAGGUGGGGUUGGGAAAAAAAUUGUGAAAACUUAUACGGUUAAUGUUAGCACUACUUUGUUUAUCCGACUCAAUUGGGCUGGGAAGGGAACAACCACUAUACCAUCACGAGGAGUAUAUGGUCCUCUUAUUUCAGCUAUUUCUGUGAAGCCAAAUUUUUGGGUUCCACCAAAAGAUAGACCUCUCCAGCGAAAUGGAAAUGGUGUGUCUGCAUGGACUGUGUCUGGAAUUGUGGUUGGAACACUUUGCCUGAUCAACUUAAUCCUUGGAGCUUUAUGGUGGCGUGGUUAUUUAAGAUGCAGAAAUGCAACGGAAUUAGAGUUGAAUGGGCUUACUGGUUCCUUUACAUUGAGGCAAAUCAAAACAGCAACAAACAAUUUUGAUGUUGCUAAUAAGAUUGGAGAAGGUGGUUUUGGCUCUGUUUACAAGGGAGUAUUGUCAGAUGGCACCUUAAUCGCAGUAAAGCAGCUCUCCUCUAAAUCAAGGCAAGGAAAUAGGGAGUUUUUGAAUGAGCUGGGAGUGAUUUCUGCUUUGCAACACCCACAUCUUGUGAAGCUCCAUGGAUGCUGUAUUGAAGGCAAUCAGUUGUUGCUUGCAUAUGAAUACAUGGAAAAUAACAAUCUUGCCCGUGCUUUAUUUGGGCCUAAAGAAUGGCAAUUGGAACUUGAUUGGCCAACAAGAUAUAGGAUAUGCAUUGGUAUAGCGAAGGGUCUUGCUUUUCUCCAUGAAGAAUCACGAUUAAAGAUUGUGCACAGAGACAUUAAAGCAACUAAUGUGUUGCUUGAUAAGAAUUUAAAUGCCAAAAUUUCUGAUUUUGGUAUGGCUAAGCUCGAUGAAGAGGAUAACACCCAUAUAAGUACCCGUGUUGCUGGAACUUAUGGAUAUAUGGCUCCGGAAUAUGCAUUGCGUGGUUACCUGACAGAUAAAGCAGACGUCUAUAGCUAUGGAAUUGUCCUCUUAGAGAUUGUGAGCGGGGCAAGUAACAUUCCUGACAGGACAAAGGAGAAUAAUUUUAUUCUUCUUGAUCGGGUAACAAACUUUAACUUAGUGGUGGCAAAAUUGAUGGGGUAUGACGGGUUGUAUUGACUCUUUCAACCCUUUUUGUCCAUUCUGACUUUUGUAAAUUAUAGGUUUAUUUAACAAGAUAUAUUUUGAAAUAAUAAUCAUUAUGAAAUAAUAAUCAAAUUCUAUAGGUUUAUUUAGCAAGAUAUAUUUUCAAAUAAUAAACAUCUUGAAAUAAUAAUCAAAUUAUAUCAAUAAAUCUGUAUAGAGGGUUUAUUCUUUUGAAACUGAAAUAUAUUAUUUUUUGUUGUGAAAAUAGUGUUAGUAUUUUUUUCAAAGUAUCUAUGUUUGUGGGUGACUUUUAUUUUUGUUGUGAAGCAUUUCUUUUGAAUAAAUACAUUACUUUGGAUACAACUGAGUUUUUAUUAAAAUUUAUAUCAGAAUACAAUACAGACAAAAAGUUGAACUAUACUCAUGAUUAGAUUUUUUUUAUCAACAUUGUAUUCCAACGUCGGAUUGAGGUAUGCGCAUAUAAUGUAUAUAUGUGUGGGUCAUAGAGGGCAAAAGUGAAAGUUCACUAAUUUUAACCGUUAUUUUACUAAUUUCGUGAAAAUAACGUUAAAAGCUGAGGACGGUUAAUCAUGCAUCAUGUGGUGGCGUUGAUAGCUGAAAGACAAAAGGGUACAUUCAUUAAUCGGUCUUUGUCCAAAGCGUUGAGUGUUAUGUGCCUUAUGUUCAAGACUUGAUGCAAAACUACUAUCGAGUCGGGUGUCUCACUGGAAGUAGCCUCUCUAUUCCUACGGGGUAGAGGCCAAUUUUUUGAAAUCCACGGGUAAUUUAAUGGAGUUAGUUGACCCGAAGCUUAAUUCCAUAUACGACAUCCAAGAGAUGGUGGUUGUUAUAAAUCUAGCCAUACUGUGCACUGCAAUAUCUCCAAUCAAUAGGCCAACAAUGUCAUCAGUGGUUUGCAUGCUUGAAGGAAGAAUAGUUCCUCAAGAAUUUGCUGUUGAACAAAGUGUCUCAGUGACUGAAAUAGAUCGUCACAAAAUGAUGAAGCAACUUGAGGAUACGAACGAGAGCCAGAUCACGGAAAUGUCAACCCGGUGCACCGAUUCCCCAAAAUCUGCUGUUGAUUUGUACCCAGUUGACGCUUUUAGUGACUAUCUGGAAAACAGACCCAGUGAUACAAAUAAGUUAUUAUCUUAAUGGUAUUAGUGACAUUUGUUUCCAUUUGUAGAAAGAUCGAUAGAUUACUCUUGGGACCAUAAGAAUUUUUUUGCAUUAGGUUUCUUGGAUCGCGAGUAUGUUAUGUUUGGUUCUUCCCUUUGUCCUAAUAUUUUUUAGUUUUGGUGAC